CAUUAUAUCAAAUUACCACCUUAUUAAUCAAGAAUAAUAAUUAGAGGAAAUUCGAUUUUAUUUAUAAAAAGUUGGGGUCUUACAACCUCCCCUCCUUAUGAAAUUUCAUCCUCGAAAUUGACGUACGUACAUGGUUUAUCGAAAAGGUGAGGAUACCUCAUUUUCAUUUCUGACUCCAACUCCCACGUCAUUUCCUCAAUAGCAUGGUUCCUCCACAAAACCUUAACUUGUGGUAUAAUCUUGGUGCGUAGGACAUGUUCUUUCCUAUCCAAGAUCUUAACAGGUACCUCUUCGUACGUUAAAUCUUCG
rnacentral:lncRNA from 1 species